AGAUUCCUACGGGAGGCAGCAGUGGGGAAUUUUGGACAAUGGGCGAAAGCCUGAUCCAGCCAUGCCGCGUGAGUGAAGAAGGCCUUCGGGUUGUAAAGCUCUUUCAGCCGGAAAGAAAUCGCGCAGGAUAAUACUCUGCGUGGAUGACGGUACCGGAAGAAGAAGCACCGGCUAACUACGUACCAGCAGCCGCGGUAAUA
rnacentral:rRNA from 1 species